rnacentral:rRNA from 1 species
GCUUGCUUGUUGGGGUUGUAGGACACUCUAUACGGAGUUACAAAGGACGACAUUAGACGAAUCAUCUGGAAAGAUGAAUCAAAGAAGGUAAUAAUCCUGUAGUCGAAAAUGUUGUCUCUCUUGAGUGGAUCCUGAGUACGACGGAGCACGUGAAAUUCCGUCGGAAUCUGGGAGGACCAUCUCCUAAGGCUAAAUACUCUCUAGUGACCGAUAGUGAACCAGUACCGUGAGGGAAAGGUGAAAAGCACCCCGGAAGGGGAGUGAAAUAGAACCUGAAACCGUGUGCUUACAAGUAGUCAGAGCCCGUUAAUGGGUGAUGGCGUGCCUUUUGUAGAAUGAACCGGCGAGUUACGAUUUGAUGCAAGGUUAAGCAGUAAAUGUGGAGCCGUAGCGAAAGCGAGUCUGAAUAGGGCGUUUAGUAUUUGGUCGUAGACCCGAAACCAGGUGAUCUACCCUUGGUCAGGUUGAAGUUCAGGUAACACUGAAUGGAGGACCGAACCGACUUACGUUGAAAAGUGAGCGGAUGAACUGAGGGUAGCGGAGAAAUUCCAAUCGAACCUGG